rnacentral:rRNA from 1 species
GAACGUCGAGCGUGGGGAGCAACAGGAUUAGAUACCCUGGUAGUCCACGCCGUAAACGAUGUCGACUUGGAGGUUGUGCCCUUGAGGCGUGGCUUCCGGAGCUAACGCGUUAAGUCGACCGCCUGGGGAGUACGGCCGCAAGGUUAAAACUCAAAUGAAUUGACGGGGGCCCGCACAAGCGGUGGAGCAUGUGGUUUAAUUCGAUGCAACGCGA